AUAGGGUCGCAAAGAGACACAGCUGAAGCGACUCAGCAUGCACUCAUGCAUUUAUGUAUAGUGAAGUGCAGAGCUCUUGAGAGCACCGUCCCAUCCUGUGAGUUUGACAGAUGUCUGAUCCACAGCCCAUUCAACAAACAACGUUCUCAUUGUCCCAGAAAGAUCCCGUGUGCUCUUUCCCAGCCAGUCUCCUCCUUCAUAGGAGAGUGUGGAGGAAUGCGCUAAGUUUUAAGGUCUCCUGGUUUGUUCCUGCAGGAAACAGCCUCGAGAGAGGCUCUCGGGAAGCUCCAGCACAUAUCUCUGGUGGCCUCUCUUCCCAGGGCUCACAGGCUGCCACCCUGUUCUGCUACCCACAACACCUUGGGCUCACACCCCCUGAGGACCCACUAUCCACAGCAAGGCUCAACCGCAGCUCCAGUGCCCCACUUCAUGCUGCAGUGCGAAAGUCCUAACUGGAGCCCUGGGUACAUCUGGAUCAAGUUAAUUACAAAACAAGACAUACAUGGGAAUAGCCAAGCAGUCCCACUGAAAGCACAGGCAAGAAGCCGUUCAUCCCAACAGUUGUGACUGCGCCCAGACUCCUAUGUUCCUGCUGGGAGUCUGAGCACAUCCUGUCGAACAUGUCUGCAAAAACAACCCUUGUUAUGCUAAUCUCAGCCCUGUUUAUGAUGGUAAAACUUCUUGGGAGCAAGCCAAAUGUCAAGAUUGGGGGAUUCAUUAAAUAAACCAUGGUGCUAUCCAUACAAUAGGAAACUACAUACCCACUAAAAAUAACAUCAAGGAAGAAUAUUAAUAGACAUAGAAGCUGAGUGGGUAUAUUGCUAAGAUUUAAAGGCAUCUCACAAACAGUGUUAACAGUUGUUCUGAGUGUUAGGAUUAUACAGGUGAUUAUCACAUUCUUCUGCUGAUUUGUCGGUACUUUGUGCAAUGAUUCUGCUGUGUGCUGUGCUUCGUUGUUCAAUCAUGUCCGACUCUUCGCAACCACAUGGACUGUGGCCAGGCUCCUCUGUCCAUGGGGAUGCUCCAGGCAAGAAUACUGGAGCAGGUUGCCAUGCUCUCCUCCAGGGGAUCUUCCCAACCCAGGGACUAUGGAAUAUUAAUUUUAUUUAUUAAAGACACACAGCUUUAUACUGUUAAAUAUGCAGGAACAAAGCACAGACAGGAAGUGUAGAAAUGCUACAAUAGCAAUUUCACUUAAACACUAACAGCAAGAAGUAGAAAAGACAUACAGUUAUGACCCCUCUAGAGAAAAUGCAAGGACUAGGAUUUUGAGUACCAAAGAACACAAAAUAUAUGAUGAGUUUAAGUCUUUAUUAUCACUGGUAUUUAAAUAGAGUUAUUUCUAAACAUUAGAAAUGAAUCUUGUAGAACCAUCCCCUACUUAAAACCACCAAUGCUUUUCGAUUUUGGCCUAAAUCUUCUAUAAUCCCAAUUGUAUUUGAUUCAUAAAUGUGGAUGUAUCUAUCUCUAGUAACUAAACAAGGAACAAGAUGGAGACCACUUGUUACACCUACACUCUUGUCUCGAAAAUCAGUGCCUCAAAUUAGACCUCAUUUGCGUGCAGUACUUCAUGUUGUAUACAGAGGGGCAAUGUACCUUAAAUGGGGUCUUGGAGGCAUUAUUAAGCAUUGCAGGACUGAUCAUAGGAAAUACACUUCUAGCUCUAGAUUGAAAUUCUUGGAAAACCGAGCCCCAGUCACUCUGUUCUCUUAACAGUGCAGAGGUCACUAUCUGAGCUGUUUCCAGAACCCCUGGCUUAGCAUUACAUUAUCCUGUGAGAGUAAAAGCAAACCUCAGAGACACUAAAGUUUGGUUGGAGACCACCACAGUGAAGCAGAUAUCUCAAUAAAGCAUGUCACAUGAGUCUUCCGGUGUGAUACUAUAAUAAUUACCAAAAUGACACACAGACACCAAAUGAGCAAAUGCUCUUAGGAAAAAAAUGGCACCAAGAGAUUCAUCAGACUCAGAGUUGCCACAAAACUUUCAUUUAAAGAAAAAGCAAACAAAAUGCGGUAUCUGCAAAGCACGACACAAUUCAGUUC
ensembl:lncRNA